rnacentral:rRNA from 1 species
GACGAACGCUGGCGGCGUGCUUAACACAUGCAAGUCGAACGAAGUGGCGAACGGGUGAGUAACGCGUAAUCAACCUGCCCUUCAGAGGGGCACAACAGUUUGAAACGACUGCUAAUACCGCAUACCAAAGGAUGGGAUUGCUUCUGAUGAUAGAGUUGGAGGGUUCACGGCACACCAAGGCGAUGAUCAGUAGCCGUUCUGAGAUGAUGAACGGCUACAUUGGGACUGGUACACGGCCCAGACUCCUACGGGAGGCAGCAGUGGGGAAUCUUCCGCAAUGGACGAAAGUCUGACGGAGCAACGCCGCGUGAGUGAUGACGGCCUUCGGGUUGUAAAGCUCUGUUAAUCGGGACGCGGUACCGGAAUAGAAAGCCACGGCUAACUACGUGCCAGCAGCCGCGGUAAUAC